GACAGAUGGGCUUCGAUCCCAUGACUCUGUAGUUAACAGCUACAUGCCCCAACCAACAGGCCUCUGUCUAAGG
rnacentral:tRNA from 1 species